CAGUCGCCACGGGAAUACGGAGGGGGCUAGCGUUGUUCGGAAUUACUGGGCGUAAAGCGCACGUAGGCGGCUUUGUAAGUUAGAGGUGAAAGCCCGGAGCUCAACUCCGGAAUUGCCUUUAAGACUGCAGAGCUAGCAGGUGAGAGAGGUGAGUGGAAUUCCGAGUGUAGAGGUGAAAUUCGUAGAUAUUCGGAAGAACACCAGUGGCGAAGGCGGCCCACUGGCUCAUACUGGACGCUGAGGUGCGAAAGCGUGGGGAGCAAACAGGUUUAGAUACCCCCGUAGUCCCUGUCUCUUAUAC
rnacentral:rRNA from 1 species